rnacentral:lncRNA from 1 species
GGGGAAUCCCUUAUAUGGAUAUUGCGAGUAUGAAAGCAAGGAUGGGGGAAAAAAACGUAACAAGGAUAGGGAUGGGAAUAGCAUAGCCACCUCCGAUUCGACCCAUUGCCAUCCUACUCUGACCAUAAAACGACUCAACCCUUACCAUAGAACGACUCAACAAAAGGUAAUUACAGUCAAUCAAGAAUUAUAGAGUGAGGG